CACAUAUGUCAUUUUAGGUUUUCUAGAAGCCACAUUUUACAAAGUAAAGAGACACAGAUGAAAUUAAUUUUAAUAGUAUAUUUAAUUUUUGUACAAUAUAUUCAAAAUAUUAUAAUUUCAACAUGUCUUCAAUAUAAAAAUAAGAUAUUUUAGACUCUUAGGAAGGCUAUUUAACAGAAGACUGGAAUAAAAAUGUAAAAUUCAGUUCCUCAGUCAUGCUGGCCCUAUUUCAAGCGUCCAAGAGCCCCAAGUUACUAGGGGCUCUUGUGCUGGCCAGCACAGGUGUGUACAGGUGUUAACAAAGUGGUCAGGUCAAUUGAGUAGGCGAGCUUGCAGAAUCUUACUUCAUUAUCCCUGUAGAUUAACCAUGCCUUUUGUUUUCUGUAGAGAAGCAAAACCCUGGAGGGGGUGCCCCUGCCGGGAUUAGUCAAUUUCUAGAUACAGUAAACAACUCACGAGGCAACCUGCCUUUCAAAUGCAAACCGAGCAAUUCAGAGCCCCAAACCCCAAACCCCAGCCACCUCCGCUAUUGGGCUGUCAUACUCCCCUAGCGGUACCAGACCACUAGGGGCAGCCCCCAUGGCUGCGGAAAUGAUUCAGACUAGCCAACCUUGAGUCCGCCUACCUUGCCUCACCCGCUCAUCCCCUGGAAACCACGGUAAAGACUGUUGCUCUCGUUUUCUCCUGGCCCCCUCUUCCUCCUGCCCAGCCUGGGGCUUCCUCCUGUGUCCCCUGGUGCGGUGGGCCAUGUCUCCUGUUUCUAGAGAAUCUUGUAAGUGAUCCAGAAGGAACAACUAAUUAACUUAUUGGCUGCUGUGGCAGGCAGCUUUUUAAGAUGCCCUGGAUGAUACAUGACUCUUAUUAUUUACAUCCUUGUGUGACCAUUUCCCUCUGAAUGUGUGCUAGACCAGUGACUUGCUUCUAAUCAAUGGAAUAUGGCAAAAAUGAUGGAUGAGAUUAAGCUAUGAAGAACUGUGGUUUCUGUCUUAUUCCCUUUUUUUUUUUUUAACCAUGCAACAAAACGCUUAUUAACAUUUUGAGCAGGUUCAGCUAUUACCGAAACUGGUAAUUUAUAAACUUAAAUUGGGGCAAAUGGCUUUAGUGCAGAGUAGUGCCAUCACUUGUCACUACGAAUGCAAGACUGAAGAAUUAAUAGCCACCCCUCAGAUGGAGGACCAGGUGCAGGGCUG
rnacentral:lncRNA from 10 species